rnacentral:rRNA from 1 species
UACGAAGGGGGCUAGCGUUGCUCGGAAUCACUGGGCGUAAAGCGCACGUAGGCGGACUCUUAAGUCAGGGGUGAAAUCCUGGAGCUCAACUCCAGAACUGCCUUUGAUACUGGGAGUCUUGAGUUCGGGAGAGGUGAGUGGAACUGCGAGUGUAGAGGUGAAAUCGUAGAUAUUCGCAAGAACACCAAUUGCGAAGGCAGGCUGGCUGACACGAAUAUUUGACACUGAGGCACGAAAGCGUGGGGAUCAAGCAGG